rnacentral:tRNA from 1 species
GGAUGCGUAGCCCAACUGGCAGAGGCAAUAGAUUUAGGAUCUAUGUAGUGAGGGUUCGAAUCCCUCUGUGUCCA